rnacentral:sRNA from 1 species
AUUCUGCCCAUGCGGGGAAGGAUGAGAAGCUUCGACCAAGGUUCGACUCGAGCGCCGGCGAGAGAGAGUGGCCGCAGGCAACGACCCGAAGGGUGAAGCGCGCAGCGCUGAGUAAUCCUUCCCCCACCACCA